UACGUAGGUUGCAAGCGUUGUCCGGAAUUAUUGGGCGUAAAGCGCGCGCAGGCGGUUCUUUAAGUCUGAUGUGAAAGCCCCCGGCUCAACCGGGGAGGGUCAUUGGAAACUGGGGAACUUGAGUACUGAAGAGGAAAGCGGAAUUCCACGUGUAGCGGUGAAAUGCGUAGAGAUGUGGAGGAACACCAGUGGCGAAGGCGGCUUUCUGGUCAGUAACUGACGCUGAGGCGCGAAAGCGUGGGGAGCAAACAGG
rnacentral:rRNA from 1 species